CAAGGGAAAAAGAAGGCAAAAGAAAAACUGCUCCAGGAGAAAGAACAACUGAGAUAUGUCUGGCAAGUUGAUUCAAGAAACAGUUGCCCAGCCUCCAAGCCUGGAUAAGUCUUCACCAAACUAGGUACAAAGACAAGUUCACACUUCUUGCUAAAGACUGAGAAGUGUAAGGAAGGAGGACCCAGGGGGACACACUGGAAUGUGCUACAAGUCUAGGCUUCUGCAUUGUGAAACAACUCACUUGUCCUUCCCGGAGAAUGUUCCUCAGUAGUGGCAGAUGCUCUGGAGUGAGAUCUCGAAGUGAUCUGAUACCCCGACGGUGGCAGAUGGCGAUCAAAUACAGGUCAUCAAGCUGUGCAGAGCCCACGGGACAAACAAGACAAUGCUAGUUUUAGCAAGGAAGCCACCAGCCAGGGCACUCCUACCCCCAAGGCCAAUCCAGGAGGCCCUACAGCAGAACCAAUGAGCAGGUACCCGAGGUAACCGCGUGCCCUGGAUGACAAGGGGUAGCCGAAGAACAGGAUUUCUGUGUACUCUUUGGAGCUAGGUACACACCUGUAAUCCCAGCACUCAAGCAGAAGGACUGAGGGCUCAAAGUCACUCUGGGCUAUACAGCAAGACCCUUUCAAAAGAGAAAUUGAGAAAGGAACAAAAACUGUAAAACAAAAAUUUCCAUCUGGGAAUGUUUACAUAUACCACGGAGUUGACAGGAAGAGGUGGGCAAGUUCAGAAAGCCAAGCACAAAAGUCUUUGUCCUGAAGAAUUUACAACUUCACUUAUGUGCAUGUCAUUUUCCUGUAUGAAAUAAAUAUUGCAUAAAAGCA
ensembl:processed_transcript